UACGGAGGGUGCAAGCGUUAUCCGGAUUCACUGGGUUUAAAGGGUGCGUAGGUGGGCUGGUAAGUCAGUGGUGAAAUCUCCAGGCUUAACUUGGAAACUGCCAUUGAUACUAUCAGUCUUGAAUACCGUGGAGGUCAGCGGAAUAUGUCAUGUAGCGGUGAAAAUGCUUAGAUAUGACAUAGAACACCAAUUGCGAAGGCAGCUGGCUACACGAAUAUUGACACUGAUGCACGAAAAGCGUGGGGAUCAAACAGG
rnacentral:rRNA from 1 species